rnacentral:tRNA from 1 species
GCUGCUGUAGCUCAGUUGGUAGAGCACUUCAUUGGUAAUGAAGAGGUCAUGGGUUCAAGUCCCAUCAGUAGCU